AGUGCGGAACCAGGAAAGGGAAGAAAAAAAAAGAAGAAAAACAAACCGAACGAACCGGAACGAUGAGCUGAAGUUACUUCCAAAAUCCAUCAAAGAACCAUCAAUAAGAUGCCGUUUGCAAACGAUUGUACUGUUUGUGCGUUUCCUGAAAGCCUAUUCUCUCUGCCAUCCAAACCUUGGCCCUUGGCUGCCAAGGCAGUAUCUCGUGAGCGACGGGACAUUGCUGGCGUGAGCAGCGUAGUGUGAGAUUAUGGUUUGUAACGGCUAUUAAAGCCACACGAACGGACACUCUUGAGUAGUCACGUUUCGCUUGUAUUACUGAUAAGUGCUGACCGGCGGUGCCGAGUGCCGGACGCUGUGAAUGGCAGUGAAGCUACUUCACGACCAAGGUCGCAGGAGGCUGGUGUAUGAGUGGAUUCGUAUUUUAAAGUUGGCCCCCAAAAUCAACCCUGAGGGCGCCCAUCACUUUAUGAAAAGAGUUGCUCUAGUAUCACGAGAACUUGAUUGUUUUUUUUCAGAUUCCCUACACGUGGAUGUGAUAGAGGCAUGGCAUACUAGUUUCGCAAAUAUCACACAGUUUUCUCGCUCAUCAGCCCACAAUGUCGUGAUAGUGAAUAUCGAACAUUACCGGUAGAGCGAUACUGUGUUUGCGGUUUUCCACCGCUCCGAGGAAAUGAACCUUUUGGUUUCACACGUGACGGGUUUGGCUGCAGCCUUUAUGUAACCGAGCAUCGAUAGUGAAGCUGGGGAAUAAAUCAUUCCUUGUUAGAUUUUCCCGUGCUGACUACUUUUCAUUAGCCUCAUUUACCCGCGUCAUGGAGUUACAUUUUCGACCAUUACUUGUUCAUCGAUUUGUAAACACAACCUCCAAUCCACCGGUUCACUGUCAUGCGGAGGGGUUAUCGGCGUAUUACUUGUCGCAGGUCCCGCGCAACACCAAAAACCAGUCGGUAAAUAUUUAGUUCAAUUCCAUCGAACCGGCCCGAAAUGUGGACACCACCACCGUCGGUCGAAGGCAACAAGUGUCUGGCACAUCGGCUGAUAGAAAAAGCAAAAAAGAAGAAGAAAAAAAAAAAACAACCAGCACACACACGCGACUCUCAGGCCAAUUUUGGGGCAUCUGCGUUGUGGUACUACUGGCACGUGUAAUUGGAAACCACGAAUUUUUCCCCUCUUUGUGCGCAGUUUGUUUGCCGCAUGCCAACAUCGCAUACCCCCUCGCUCUCCUUCUCUCUCUCUCUCUCACUCUCUCUCAUGCCCAGCUCAUUGCAUCGCAUGCGGCCAGCCACUUUGUCCGGGGGAUUAACCCGGCCGCGCUUGAUUCUUGUAGCAAACAUUGUUAUGAAGCUCUGGGCUGUGGCGCUGUUUUUUGACGCUCGAGUGCCUCUGAGGCCGGUCGUUUCGAAAAGCUAGGACCAGGGGGGGGGGGGGGCGGUGAAGGAAAUGGACAGUAACAAUAAAAUGUUGGAAAUCGAUCGAAAUCAAAUCAAAACACGCCGAAUGGAAUACCAUCAUUGGUUUCAUUGGCGUUGAGGAGGGCGACAAGGGCGAACAAGGAAUGGAGGAGGCGUAACGUUUCAAUUCUAUUUGAUUGUGCGUUUGUGUGUGAAUCGUCCAAACUAGCGCAUCCAACUCAGCUGGUGGUUUAACUAAAAAAAAAAUACAACCAAUCAAUUUAAAACAAUACAUACACGAAAAGCCUAAUUUAAUUGUGCACAAAUUAAAUUAAUCAUCCAAAGCCACACAACAACCCAAAAUCAAUAGGUUUGUUUCGUAUGAAAUUGAUAAAAUCCCGAACAUUUGAGCAGCAAUAUCGUGCGUCCGAUCGUGCCUUUAGUGCACGCUAAAAUGAACCAUUUCCGGUGGUAAUUGUUAGGCAUUGCAUACCGCCGUAAGCUACGACGUCAGCGGAGCAAAAGUUCUACCGAACGACUAUUUCCUCAUCAGCAAUAAUUAAGCGCGACGAUUGAGCAAAAUUAUUAUUAGAACUAAGCAGGACGAUCGCUUAUAGACUGGGAGGCCGCGUGGUGGUGCUGGUUCUGAUGGAGAAACAAUUGCCACUCUCUUUAGUGUUGUCGACGCUAAUUGUGCCACGUGGUGGUGCACCACACUUCCUUGAUCGGUCGAUGAAGCGAUCAGUUAUGGAAAUGAACGUAGUUUAGAAAUAAAUUGUGAAAAAAGAAGGCCGAUCGACCUAUACGGCUACGGUUUGGUUUGAAUGGGGAAACGAGUUAAUGAUUUAAAUUCAAUUCGCUUCGCGAUGGCGCGUCACCCUCAUCGAUUGGGAGCCUCGUCAGUGAUGUGUAAUAUGGAAAAUGCAACACUGCAUUAGUGCUGAAUAGAAAGCAUGAGAAACCCCCUAAUCAUCAUCAUCCCGCAACAAAUAAUGCGUGAAAUAGCGGUUCAUGUUGAGAGUAUAAUGAUUAGUUUCCCUUUUAGUAACAUAUCGAGCUAUGAAAGAGGUGCCCGGUUGAUAAAACUGUCAUUAAAGAUUAUUUGAACUUUCAUUUGUUUUUCAGAAGAAUGAGGAUAAUGUUGACACUGCAAACAUUGAUUAUUCUUCAUCAAACAACACAGUAAUUAAGGAUUUCAGAAAGAUUUCAUCAUUUGUGCUUGAUGUUUACUAUGCUUCUGUCAUGUUUCUCUAAUCCACUCUGGUGAGUGUGUUUCGGUGCAAAUUUAACGAUCGACAAAUACAAACGAUUUCAUCGAAUAUCCACAUAAAUGCAUAUCGUAUCAAUAAUCUUAUUAGCAUCAUUUUAUAGCUUGGCUUCGAAAGAGGUUUUUUUCGAAGGAGGUGCUUUUGAAUGCAGAAAUCGCGUCAAGACAUAAGACAAACGAUUUACGACGCCUGUAAGCGUAAUCGAUUUAGCCAGUUUAUUGCCUUUUUUAUGUGCAGCAGCACCUUCCGAGCUGCUAGGUGCGAAAUUUGUCACGGCCACGGUUCUUGGCAACAUUAAUCCUUCGUUCAUUCAUAAAAAAAAACCAUUCAUGCUUUUCCUGGGGGUAAGAGAGUACAGUGUAAACUUGGUAGCUUUGAAUCAUCCAUCGUUUUGUGGUGCAGCUGAUUUUGUUCUAUUGCUUCUAAUUGAUUUGCCAAACGAGUAAUGUUGUUGCAAUAUUGCUGAACCAGGAUACAAAAAAAAGUUAAGCAAAUAGAUUCCGCCUUGCUUGCAGCGCACCAUCAAAGCACCGUCUCCCGCCACCGCUGUUGCUCAAUGCGCUGCAUUUUAUGCGUUCCAUAUGUGCAUCGAAUCGUUGCACCCGUUGCUGGAAUGCAAUGCCGAACGAAACGGACGCGCACAUCCGUUUCGAUGUGUGUACGACAGUCGAGAGUUCUGUGCACCCAGUGCCCUCGUCAGUGUGUUGUGAAAAGAUGGCGAAAGAAGAAUGAAAUCUAUUAAAAGUAGACAUAACGCUAGCACUGUAACAUGAUUAUAACAAAUCGAUUUAGUCUGUUAAACCGACAACACACUCUGACGGACGAGCUCUGCCGGUGGAACGGGCCCACACACAAGCCCAACCGUUUUCCAACGCGUGUUUGUUUUUUUCCAAUCGAAUCGCAAAGAGGAAGAAAACUUAACGCACGCCAAACUCCCGAAACGCAAUGUGCCAGCUCGUUCGCUCGCACCAUUAUGCAGCGUGCAGAAAGAAAAUAUGAAAAUUACGAAAUGCAGCUGAAAAUUGUGUAAGUACUGAUUAAUCUUAGCCCGUGUACCUGCGACCUCCACCGGCGGCGUCCCAGAGCCCGCGAAACGGUGUCGAUGAGUGGGGUUACCCCACCACCGUUUCGUCGCCGCCGUUGCAUCAUUGCACAUUGUGCCGCUCAUUGUGCGCCAGCCAGUGCCGCUCGGACGGUGGUGCAUCGAAUGGUCAGCAAAACGGGGUGGGCUUGGGUUACCGUGUUAAGGGUUAAGGAGAGGAGCGUAACAUAGCUGGGACCACUACAAAACGGAAGAAACACACAAGACCUCUGCCCGUACAACGCCUCAUCACUCAGACGCACUGGGACGGACGCUCGAUCGUGUUUGUGUGUCCGGCAUUAGGACAUAGCACACACACACACGCUAUUUUGUCAGUGUCGCGGUUUGCCAGUCGGCCGAAGGCUAAUGGAUCGAUGCUUCGGGGAAUGAAAUAUGGCCCAACAUUAAGUCACCCGAACAACAAAAGGGACAAAAGCUGCGAACGCGAUCCAUUUGAUCGAUGACGUUUAACGGGUGGCAUGUGGGAAAGCAAUCGCGCAACGCUAUUACAGCGUAAUGUUGUCCUAUUCAGAUAAUUUUAUUACAAAUGGACUGGAUGGGCUUUGAGCAAUUGAGGCCAAACUGGUUAGUCAGGCAGGACCCCAUCGAAUGAGGUUUCAGACUACCGUACAAAUAACAAAGUUGAAAUAAUGCAAUGUUUGAAUACGAUAUAAGGACCUCAGAGGGGAGAUUUUCAUGGCUUCCUUAAAAAGUGGAACCAAAAGUCUGAAUUUUUCAGGUUCUAAUUUAACAUCAGAACUGGAAUUUACAGAUUUAAAUACAACAACAGUUUGUCACUGUGAAAAUGAUUGAAACUUCUUCCAAUGCCCUUCUCAUUCCUCCUCCUCAGUUGAUGGAGGAAAAAUUGCUCCGUUUUAGAAUACACACAAACAUAUAAGGUGGGGCGUAAUGGGACACGACACUUCUCGCCCGUAAUACCGUUCGGUAAUUGGAAAAGAAAAUAAAACAAACAUACUAAAAUUACACUGCCCGCGAGCCAUCAAAACGACAGACCCGUUGGGUGUGCGUGCGUCUCGUGACAUCGAGACACAUUGCAGACACACGGUAAUAUCAGUAGGAGCAGCAGCAGCAGCAUGUGAACCAAUAAACCCGAUCGGUGAGAUUCCGUUGGAGGUGUUUUGUGGUGUCCCGGUGAGCGCGGCACCAGCGCGGCCCUUCAUUUCCGUUCCACUUUCGUCGUAACCUUCGGUCAUAACCCUUCCAAGGAUUUUGCAACCGGUCCGAGCCGACCGAGGACCGACGGAACGGUCGGACGAAAAGCGCUCACGGUGCUUUGGCGGGUUGCUGCUGGCGUGACCCGGGCUGGUACAGUUCGAUAUCUUAAUCAAGCGCGCGAGAACGUGUGUGUGUGUGUGUGUGUUGCUGCUUAGGUGCAGCACCUGAGCGACCGAUGGUACAGGCGGGAAAUAAAAUGACAAAAAACAAAUAGUUGAGCGAUUUAUCCGAACCUGCCCUGAAGGAUUGUGGUUGUUGUUUUUAUUUUGUCGUCUCGUUUGACUGCAGCAGCCGCGCUUGGAAGCAGUAAUUUUCGGAGCAGUAAAAAUAUGGCUAAGUACUGGGGAAAAGAACGAGGACACAUUGGUGCGGUCCGGGGGGGACAAGGGUAGUAAGCCGGUUUAAUUUGACAGGUCAAGUGGAUAGGGCUCUGCAGUGCCGUAAUGUGCAGGGGGCAAUCUGGAUUUCAGAUUGUUUAUCAAUAUGACCUCAUUGUUAUGCGUAGCUUGAGAUCGGUCAACAUAUAUCUCCAUAAAAAUUGGAGGAAUAUUGUUAGUUACAGGGAUUCUUAGGGGUUCUCGUAAUAGUGAUUCCACUUCCUUGAUUCUUUCAUAGGGGAAGUGAACUUUAUAUAAUGGGAAUUGGACUAGAUGGCACCUUUUUGGACAGGCUAUUUGGAAAUUCCUAUUCGAUUUGUCCAACAAGGAGGCUAUAGAGUGAAAUUCCCAUCAAAUGAGGUUCAUUCCCCGUUCGAAAGAAUCAAUGAAGUGUCCCACAACUAUGAGAACCCCUGCCAAACCCUGUAAAACACAAACAUAAAAUGAUAAUGUGCAAAUUAACUAUUUUUUCCUUCCUUAAAAAUCACCGAGGAUCCGUUUUGUUGUGCCUCAAAUGCCCGUUGGUAUUAGCAAAGCCACACAUUUAUCGAAGAUACUUUCGCUUUCCAUCGUCAAUCCAUCGAUCACCCCUACAACCGCAGGCACCAUGAGUAAAGAGGAAAUUUAGAGGAAAAGUUGUCACUUUCCUUACUGCCCCCUUCGCAUUUUGUUUUCGCUUUUUUGCAUUUUUCAUCGCAUCUCCCUCACGAAAACUCGUCUCGUCACAGUUUUGUUUUCGGGCACACGAUUUCAUCACACCACGUCCACUAUUCCCGUGCGCAACGUGUAUGUGUGUGUGUGUGUGUGUGUGUGUGUGUGUGUGUGCAUAUGCAAUCGACAACCGGGUGCAUUUAACCGGGCAGCGUGUUUGGCCACCGGCCAGAAAUGGCUACAGACCUGCACCACCCCGCAAGGGGUGCCGCCGGCGGUUGCACGUUGCAUCAAAAGGUGCAUUCACACCAUCGCAUCGCAGGUGCGCAUGUAGAGGGGCCAGCGUAUUUUUAGGCGGGUGAAACGCGAAGGGAACGUGAAAGUAAGUGUCGUGAUGUGCAUCGGAGAAGAGUGCAUGUUGUUUCGGGUUGUUGUUGUUGUGGUGCUUUCACGCUACCGAAACGCUCGCCUUUUUGGUGGGAGUAUUUUUGCGUCGUCCCUUUGCGCAGGGACGGCGGCUCACACUGUGCUGCUUUUGUGCCGGAUGAUGAAUGGGGAACAGGCGGCAGUGUUUUGGCCUCAAGUGUCGUACCGGCACAGCCCACACAUUUUAUGAGCAAUAAAACUUUGUUUAACCGUUUGCCGGGGCACAUGCAAGCGCGUUCUCCUUUCUCCUAAUGCUGUUUUGCAAAUCGUUCCGGCCAAAGUUCUGAUCUUUCACGGCCUGCGCCAAACGUGCUGUGCAAAUUAAAAUCGGUUGAGAUAUCGGUUUUAAUUACAGCCAGUUUUAUACCUUUUCCAAUAAAUCCGUCCCCACAGCACGUGGACGGGAUAUGGUUCGGAAAGUGUGGUUUGCCACUUCGAACGGAUUGGGCUCUUUUGAGAUUGUUGGGAUUUAAAUUUUAAUGCGCUAUAAAAUCAAUCCACAAAAUGGCACUACGGGCGCAUACUUCAUCUUCCGAUUUGAUACAAAUAUCUUCCGCUUGCUAAUGAACACCGAGCGGCAAAAAGGUCAACAUUUUGGGAGAGCAAAAAAAAAAACAUAACGAAGCAACAGAAACAACACACAGCGGGUGGUAGAAGAGCGAGCAAAAAUGGUUGCAAAAAUAUUCCCUUUCCGUCCAUUUCGAUUAGACAGCCGACGAAGCUGACAGCCUUCAAUUUGCUUCAUACAGCAGCAGCAGCAGCACAAGCAGCAACACCACCAACAACAGUGUGCUGGUCCACCAAAUCUGCACCAUGGUAACCAUAACCAUUAGCCAAGAAACUGACAUUUGUUCUCGAUUCCUGCCACUCUUCAUCUAACACACUUUGGGUUAGGGUCGCGCUGUCGUUUUUUUUUGGUCGCAUUUCAUUUUGCGAGAGCAAAUAAAACAAAUAGCUUCCACAUGUGGCUUUUUUUGGAGGGGGGACAAGCUCAAGGUGAGAUCACGCGCGAACUUUGGAGGUCGCUCGAUUCGUAGCAGAGCAACCGGCAACGUGAAUAAAGCGUUACCUUUAAGCGUUUGACCAGCACAGAUUAAUAAAAUAAUGUCUUUAAAAACGCCACAAUCAGAACAGUUUACAAACAGUCUCAGUUAGGGCGAAAACAAACUAAUGCUCUCCAAUAAUUAAUGCUACAACGGUAGAGGUUAGGAGUCUAUAUUUGCCACGCGGCACGUUUAAAAACUUUAAUUGCCGCCUUCUCCACAAACACACAACAGGCGGACAUCGCCUUAAUCGAGGACAGCGCCACGUGGGAGCGAACGCGUGCGGGGGCCACCCCAUGAACGGCCUUGCACUUGCAAUGUGUGUGUGUUUGUGUGAUGAAAAAUUCUUACCCUAAACAUCAGUGCAGUGAUGAACGUGCGCCAUGUGGACAAAGUUAAAAGCCAGCCAAAGGAAUUAUUGUUACGUUCCGAGCGUUUUCCGUUUGGGAUCGUUGCCAAAUUCCUCGCGAUUCUGCGGAACCAGAAAAAGCCAGAAUGAGCUCAUCGCACGCGGAGAGGUGCUAAUAUGAAACGAAACGGGGCCCCCGAAUCGUUGAACCGAAAACGCGGAACAGGUAUAAACCGUUUUUAAAAUGCUGUCAUCAUAGUUCGCUCAAACGUUUCUGUCGAGGCGAAAUAAAACGCUAACGCGAAAAGGCUUUGCGCGGUUGGCAGGCAAGUGUGUGCGCGAAAGGGUGUGCGUGUGUGUUUGUCUUGAAGGUGUUGAAUCAACAAAAAUUGUUUGCUAUUUCCCUGCACACGUACGGAGGAGGUGUGUGCGCUUUUGCGUCUUGCCGACACUUGUUUGUGUCGAACGGGAAGUUCACGCGAAGGAAUAGUAAUCAUCUCUUCUGAUUUAUUCUGCAAAGGAGGGUCUCGUCGAUGGGCUGUCUAAAAGUGUUAUUUAAAGUAUUUUACAAAUCUAAAAGACAUUACAUUUUCAUAUACAUCCCACCAUAAUGUUCUCACGGUGCUAGCUUCUCCCUCGGCAAAUGUCCCGCCAUUCUACGCUUCGAGCAAAGUUUAUGAUCACACACCACACAAAGCCACACAUAAACCGACCGUUGUGCCUUCCCAUCGUAUCCCUCUCACCCAUUUGUGGUUGUUUUUGUUCAACCUGUCCUAUGUCACCGCAGCACACAGUCGCGCAGUCUUACACCGGUUUUGCUGCACGUAAGUGUAACACGCCUUGCCGCGAGUAGUAACAAACGCGGUGCGCGGCGUUGUGUCUCCGGUCUGAUUUUGUUCUUAUAUGUGCGAAUGCGUGCGUGGUUGUCCGUGUUCUGACUGGUAACUGCUAGAGGCAACCACACCAAAGGUAUAUGGUGCUACCGAGAACCGACCAAGGUCAACCUCUUGUCAGUGUGCAAAUAAUGCUGCAGCGCGAGUCACGGUACUUCGGCGUUGCGCUCGGUACAGCUUGGUAUUGGUAGCACCCAUUAGAUGGUGUUAGUUUGUGCAACCCAGUGCUAUCAGCAUCGGAUUGCAUCGGUUCCGUCGUCUGCACCACCAGCUGUGUGUGGUCAAUAGCAGCAGCAGCAGCAGCAGCAGCAGCAGCAGCAUUCCGCUCUCAACGGGGUGUGACGCCUUUGCUGCCGCGCACAGAUGCACACGAUUGCAGCGAGCAACACAUGCAGCAACAGGAAUGAACAUCACAAAGUUGCAUUGGAUGUAGUUCACUAUUAAAAGAUUUGUUCUUGAUGUCAAAAGUAUUUUAGUACUCGCGCACCAUUAAUAGAAGCAUCCAUCUCAUAAUAAAUCAAAAUGUUUUUGCGAUCGGUGCACAUUUUUUCCCCCAUGAACCAAGCAAGAAUCAUUUGUUCGCCUUUUAAUAAAUGCUGCUAAUAGCCUGAGGUGUAACGGAGAUUGCAUUAUCAACCAGUCGUAGCCGGUUCUAUCUGGUAAGGUGCAUGAAAACAAAUGAGUUUACGAUCGUCCCGUCCAUAUAUUGUGAAACACUAAAGUUCAACUGUUCCCCCGAAGGGUGCGACUACAUCCAACGAUUCUGCGAGGCUUGCUAUGAAAAGCCCUAGAGCAUUAACGCACAAGAAGCCAAUAUACAUUUACAGUGCUUUAUUUUGUGUGAUCUUAAUUCAAAUUUAACCAAUUUAUGAGUUGAUAUAUUCGAUCACAUCUCAGCAGCAGACUCAUGAACCUUGUUCAUUUCCAGCCACUCCCUUGGCGCAUCCUGAAGUCACCGUCUCCCACAUUCCCUUCCGUAGAACCGCUAAUCGUUGGUGGUCGUGGUGGUGGUUGCAG